rnacentral:rRNA from 1 species
UACGUAGGGUCCGAGCGUUAAUCGGAAUUACUGGGCGUAAAGCGUGCGCAGGUGGUUUUGUAAGCCAGAUGUGAAAUCCCCGGGCUCAACCUGGGAACUGCAUUUGGGACUGCAAGGCUAGAGUACGGCAGAGGGGGGUAGAAUUCCACGUGUAGCAGUGAAAUGCGUAGAGAUGUGGAGGAACACCGAUGGCGAAGGCAGCCUCCUGGGCCAGCACUGACGCUCAUGCACGAAAGCGUGGGGAGCAAACAGG